AUGGGGAAACCCAGUGUGACUCGUCACACUAUCAUUAACUGAAUCCAUAGGUUAAUGAGGCGAACCGGGGGAACUGAAACAUCUAAGUACCCCGAGGAAAAGAAAUCAACCGAGAUUCCCCCAGUAGCGGCGAGCGAACGGGGAGGAGCCCAGAGCCUGAAUCAGCAUGUGUGUUAGUGGAAGCGUCUGGAAAGGCGCGCGAUACAGGGUGACAGCCCCGUACACAAAAGCGCAUGUGCUGUGAGCUCGAUGAGUAGGGCGGGACACGUGGUAUCCUGUCUGAAUAUGGGGGGACCAUCCUCCAAGGCUAAAUACUCCUGACUGACCGAUAGUGAACCAGUACCGUGAGGGAAAGGCGAAAAGAACCCCGGCGAGGGGAGUGAAAAAGAACCUGAAACCGUGU
rnacentral:rRNA from 2 species